CCCCAUCCCCCAAUCCCAACCACAGCACUCACAUGGGCAUAGCGUCGAUUGCCAGCGCCACCCAAAAGUAUGGAGCCAAACAUCACACAAUAUCUAAAAUCCGCGAUGCUAUUCUGCUGACCACAGGUGUGCCUGUGACCACGGCUUUCAGCGGAAUAUCAAUGCGAGAACAAAUGUACAUUCGAACCUUACGCAAACGCUUAAUGCGAAAGUGAUCCGAGGAAAUUUAUGGAGCCCAAAUUGGUUAUAAUUUAGCAGAACUCAAUCCGGACUUGAGCUUCCCACAUAGAAACUUAGAGAAAAAGGGUUCCAAAAUGGCAUCAACUUAAUGAUUUUGAAGUAAUAACUUACUACUAUGAUGGACAUACAAAACAAAUAUCUAUUCAGUAAUUAAAAUUUCAA